UCUUCAUCACAAUUCCCGGAUCUGUGCCUGACAGUCCUCUGCUCCUCCGGGAGUUCAGAGUCGAUCGCCACGGCAGCUCGAAUCACUUCAUGGAGCCAUCAACCUUCUUUCUAUGAUGUACAUUUCCAAUCGACAGAUCCCAGACCAAUCGACCUUUUGGGAAGCCAGGUUCGCUCGCAAGAGCUUGAGCCUGCGUGGAACAGAGGACCCGAAGGCGCCAUAUUCCGUACCUUUCACCGAGAUCAUUGAUCGUUGAGGUUGAGGAUAACCAUGGCAUGCCUACAUCA
rnacentral:sRNA from 1 species